GAGAUAGCUGGUUCUCCCCGAAAUAGCUUUAGGGCUAGCGUCGGAAAGAACCUUAGUGAAGGUAGAGCACUGAAUGUGUGAUGGCCCCAUCCCGGGGUACUGAAUACAAUCAAACUGCGAAUGUCAUUAAGGAUGUCCGGCAGUCAGACUGUGAGUGAUAAGGUCCAUGGUCAAGAGGGAAACAGCCCAGACCGCCAGUUAAGGUCCCAAAAUACAGGCUAAGUGGAAAAGGAUGUGGGGAUGCCCAGACAACUAGGAGGUUGGCUCAGAAGCAGCCAUCCUUUAAAGAGUGCGUAACAGCUCACUAGUCGAGUGACCCUGCGCCGAAAAUGUACCGGGGCUAAGCCUGAUACCGAAACUGCGGAUUGUAGGAAACUAUAGUGGUAGGGGAGCGUUGUAUACGAGUAGAAGCCGUACCGUGAGGAGCGGUGGAUUGUAUAGAAGUGAGAAUGCCGGUGUGAGUAGCGAGAUGUAGGUGAGAAUCCUACACACCGAAAGCCCAAGGAUUCCAGGGGAAGGUUCGUCCGCCCUGGGUAAGUCGGGACCUAACGCGAGGCCGAAAGGCGUAGUGGAUGGAAAGCAGGCGAAAGAUUCCUGCACCCGUAUAUGGAGCGAAGGAGUGACGGAGACGGAUAGUGUGACCCUCUUAAUGGAUUGAGGGCGAAGCGAAGCGGCUGGUUACCAGGCAAAUCCGGUAACCAUAAGGCUAGAGCGUGACAGGUAAGCGAAAUCUUCGGAAAGUAGCGAAGCACAUGAUGACGGCUUCCAGGAAAAGCUUCUGGCAAUGCAUAUGCGGCCCGUACCAAAACCGACACAGGUGGGCAGGGAGAGAAUCCCGAGGUGAGCGAGAGAACUGUUGCCAAGGAACUCGGCAAAAUGACUCCGUAAGUUAGCGAGAAGGAGUGCUUAAGCAAUUAAGCCGCAGUGAAGAGGCCCAAGCGACUGUUUAACUAAAACACAGCUCUCUGCGAAGUCGCAAGACGAAGUAUAGGGGGUGACACCUGCCCGGUGCUGGAAGGUUAAGAGGAUCUGUUAAGAGCGAUCUGAAGCAGUGAUCCGAAGCCCCAGUGAACGGCGGCCGUAACUAUAACGGUCCUAAGGUAGCGAAAUUCCUUGUCAGGUAAGUUCUGACCCGCACGAAAGGUGUAACGAUUUGGGCGCUGUCUCGGCAGCAGACUCGGUGAAAUCUUAGUACCUGUGAAAAUGCAGGUUACCCGCAACUAGACGGAAAGACCCCAUGGAGCUUUACUGCAGCCUGAUAUUGAAUUCUGGUCAUACAUGUACAGGAUAGGUGGGAGACAAAGAGACGUGCACGCCAGUGUACGAGGAGUCGACGUUGGGAUACCACUCUUGUGUGACCGGGGUUCUAACCUGGUAUCGAGAACAGGUACGGGGAGAGUGUCAGGUGGGCAGUUUGACUGGGGCGGUCGCCUCCCAAAGAGUAACGGAGGCGCCCAAAGGUACGCUCAGAUUGGAUGGAAACCAAUCGACGAGUGCAAUUGCAGAAGCGUGCUUGACUGUGAGACUUACAAGUCGAACAGGGACGAAAGUCGGGAAUAGUGAUCCGGCGGUGCCGAAUGGAAGGGCCGUCGCUCAACGGAUAAAAGCUACCCUGGGGAUAACAGGCUGAUCUCGCCCAAGAGUUCACAUCGACGGCGAGGUUUGGCACCUCGAUGUCGGCUCAUCGCAUCCUGGAGCUGGAUUCGGUUCCAAGGGUUGGGCUGUCCGCCCAUUAAAGCGGUACGCGAGCUGGGUUCAGAACGUCGUGAGACAGUUCGGUCCCUAUCUGUUGUGGGCGAAGGAGAUCUGCGGAGAGCUGUCCUCAGUACGAGAGGACCGGGAUGGACCUACCGCUGGUGCACCGGUUGUUCCGCCAGGGGCAUAGCCGGGUAGCUAAGUAGGGAAAGGAUAAGCGCUGAAAGCAUCUAAGCACGAAGCCUACUCCAAGAUGAGAUCUCCCAUUCGCAAGAAGUAAGACCCCUUAAAGACGAUAAGGUAGAUAGGCCAGGGAUGGAAGUGCAGUGAUGUACGGAGUUGACUGGUACUAAUCGGUCGAGGACUUAAUCAG
rnacentral:rRNA from 1 species